rnacentral:rRNA from 1 species
UACGGGGGGGGCAAGCGUUGUUCGGAAUUACUGGGCGUAAAGGGCUCGUAGGUGGCCAACUAAGUCAGACGUGAAAUCCCUCAGCUUAACUGGGGAACUGCGUCUGAUACUGGAUGGCUUGAGUUUGGGAGAGGGAUGCGGAAUUCCAGGUGUAGCGGUGAAAUGCGUAGAUAUCUGGAGGAACACCGGUGGCGAAGGCAGCUCUCUGGGACGGUACUGACGCUGAGACGCGAAAGCGUGGGGAGCGAACAGG